UGAAUACGAGACGCUAAGGCGUCGAAGUAGUGUAUGUCAUACUUCCAAGAAAAGCUUGCACUGUCAUAGAUAAAAAACGCCUGUACCAUAACCGACACAGGUAGGUAGGUAGAGUAUACUAAGGGGCGCGAGAUAACUCUCUCUAAGGAACUCGGCAAAAUAACUCCGUAACUUCGGGAGAAGGAGUGCCUUAUUCGUAAGGUUGCAAUAACAAGAUCCAAGCAACUGUUUAUCAAAAACACAGGUCUCCGCUAAGUCGUAAGACGAUGUAUGGGGGCUGACGCCUGCCCAGUGCCAGAAGGUUAAAGAAGUUGGUUAGCAAUUGCGAAGCUGAUAACUGAAGCCCUGGUGAACGGCGGCCGUAACUAUAACGGUCCUAAGGUAGCGAAAUUCCUUGUCGGGUAAGUUCCGACCCGCACGAAAGGCGUAAUGAUUUGGAUACUGUCUCGGAGAGGGGCUCGGUGAAAUAGACUUGUCUGUGAAGAUGCGGACUACCUGCACCAGGACAGAAAGACCCUAUGAAGCUUUACUGUAACUUGAAAUUGAAAUUGGACUUUAUUCGCGCAGUAUAGGUGGGAGGCGUUGAUUAUAAUCUUGUGGGAUUAUUGGAGCCAUCAGUGAGAUACCACUCUUGUAAUGUUAGAUUUCUAACUUUGAAUCAUUAUCUGGUCAAAGAACAGUUUCAGGCGGGCAGUUUGACUGGGGCGGUCGCCUCCUAAACGGUAACGGAGGCGUACAAAGGUUUCCUCUGAACGGUUAGAAAUCGUAUCUAGAGUGUAAAGGCAUAAGGAAGCUUGACUGUGAGACCUACAAGUCGAGCAGGGACGAAAGUCGGUCUUAGUGAUCUGACGGUACUGAGUGGAAAGGCCGUCACUCAACGGAUAAAAGUUACUCUAGGAUAACAGGCUGAUCUCCCCCAAGAGUUCACAUCGACGGGGAGGUUUGGCACCUCGAUGUCGGCUCAUCGCAUCCUGGGGCGGUAGUACGUCCCAAGGGUUGGGCUGUUCGCCCAUGAAAGCGGUACGCGAGCUGGGUUCAGAACGUCGUGAGACAGUUCGGUCCAUAUCCGGUGUAGGCGUUAGAAUAUUGAGAGGAGCCUUCUUUAGUACGAGAGGACCGAGAAGGACAUACCUCUGGUGUACCAGUUAUCGUGCCAACGGUAAACGCUGGGUAGCUAUGUAUGGAGUGGAUAACCGCUGAAAGCAUCUAAGUGGGAAGCCCACCUCAAGAUAAGUAUUCUCA
rnacentral:rRNA from 1 species